rnacentral:rRNA from 1 species
AACAAACGCUGGCGGCGUGCCUAAUACAUGCAAGUCGAACGAGGUAGCAAUACCUAGUGGCGCACGGGUGAGUAACGCGUGGAUAAUCUGCCUUUGAGUGGGGGAUAACUAGUCGAAAGAUUAGCUAAUACCGCACAAGACCACAGGAACUGAGGUUCUAGGGGUUAAAGGUUUUUCGCUCAUAGAUGAGUCCGCGUGAGAUUAGCUAGUUGGUGAGGUAACGGCUCACAAAGGCGACGAUCUCUAACUGGUCUGAGAGGAUGAUCAGUCACACUGGAACUGAGACACGGUCCAGACUCCUACGGGAGGCAGCAGUAGGGAAUAUUGCACAAUGGAGGAAACUCUGAUGCAGCGACGCCGCGUGAGUGAUGAAGGCUUUCGGGUCGUAAAGCUCUGUCACAGGGGAAUAACACAAUGAAUGUACCCUGUAAGAAAGGAUCGGCUAACUUCGUGCCAGCCGCCGCCGUAA